AAUCCUCCUACGUUUAGAAAUUUAGAAAUUUUUUUUUUUUAUGUGAGAGAGAUUUAAUGAUUAAAUAAAGUUACUGUGUUAAAUUUUUUUUCUGAUCUAAGUGGCUUCUAAUGGAUUAAUAUAUUAGGAAUGAGUAUCAAAACAGUAAACAAUUUUUUUUGCGUUAUUCUUUAACAUGGUGCAGCAACGUCAUUGCAAAUUUGUGAACGGGAAUGUGCAACCGUCUGCUAGAAUCGAUCCAAUUAUUAUAAUUUAUUUUAAUAACAAAAUAAGAAUACAUUUUUUGUCAAAAAUAUUGAAUAAUAUUUAUUGGAUUUAUGUUAAGUGAGGAUUUUUUCAAUCCCAAAAGCUACUUGUAGGUAACUUUGGUCCAUAGUGGUAUUAAAAAUUUUUGCUUUCAGUUAUGCGUCUAAAAGAGAAAGGUUUUUCUCAAAACGAAAUUAACUUAAACUUUACAGUUGGACUGGGAUGUUUAGAGUGAUUAAUACAAUGGAGAUGAUGAAAAAGAUGUUUCGAUGAUGUUGUGGCAAAACAUGAAGACAUUGUUAAAAGCGCAGAGAGCAUUGAAGUACAACUUUUGAAAGAAAUUUUUGAAGAGACUCGUUGGAAGAAAAACAACAAUGCAGCAUUGAAAAAUUUUGUAUAAUUUCUUAGAGUGAAGAUCAAAGGCAUUUGAGGUUAGAGGCAAUAUUUGGAAACAUUAUUUCAUUUUACACGAAGCAAUUGAUCUUAUCAUGAAUCAAAGAAAUUUGUUUAGCCUUAAAAAGUUUGGUACUGAACUUAAAUGCAUCCACGAGGAAAUAAUGUUGGAGUUCUGCUUUAUCUCGGUGUUCUAAAAUUGCCCCAAUUAAAAAUUGCUUUGUCCGCAGGCCGGAAUCUUACUUCAAUUUUAAACUCUAUCAAAAAAUAGCUUUGAAAAGUUUAAGGAGGGCCUUCACUUUAAUGAUAAUGGCAAACAGUCUGGGGGGUUACUCUGUAAGGCAUUGCGCGAGAGGAAAUGUUCGCUAUUGCAAAAAUGCAAAACUGAAAGGCGUUAAGCGCAUUGGAUAUUUCGUUUUGAGCAUUCGUUUUUCCCCUUCGAAAUCGCGGUACCCUGUACUGCGUAAACUACUGUCAAACUUCUGUAUUUAACAAGUUUUUGAUUCGUUAUCAAACUAGUAAACCGAACGGACAAACAAUUAAUGACAAGUAUAUUGAAAGGUGUCAACGCAAAACCCGUGCAACACUGUUUACCCUGAAAAGGGAAGUCCAAAUUAUGACUUUGUUAAAUGAUCUAAAGGAAAAGUUCUGAACCAAAAAGAGCACCAAAGUAUUGACGAGCAAAUAAUUACAUUCAAUUGUGAGUGGAAAAGUCCCUGUCGUUAUAUUUUACUCAAGUCCUCAUUCAUUACGAGUCUAUUGAAUUUGAAGCAGUAUAAUCCCGCAAGGCCCCAUAAGUUGGGGAUGAAAAGGUUCACACGCGCUGGAACGUCUGGAAUGGUAUAUGAUUUUGCCCUCUAUGUUGGUGAGGGAACCUGUCUAUUAUAUGGCUUGGGAAUUUCUUCAGACAUAGUCAUUUACUUAUUUAACCAACAAUCUUUCAAAGCACCAAAAUUUUUAGCUCUAUUUUGACAACUAGUCUUCUACUAGAUUUAAAAGAAAUUGGUAUAUUUGGAACCGACACUGUGCGAAUUGAUUUCAGAUUGUAAAUUGAAAAAACGUGGAAGAGGGUUCUAUGACAAUAAAUGUGGAAUACAUCACAAUUUAAUAUGUGUUCUGUAGUUUGAUAACAAGUCGGUUCAAUUUAUAUCGUCUUAUAUGGGAGUUGAACUAAUUGGAAAUUGCGGAUAUUGGAGCACAGAAAAGUAUUUAAAGAUUCCUAGGCCUGAUAUUGUCGCCUGCUUUAAUAAAUAUAUGGGAGGAGAAUAUCUUUCAGACAUGCUAAUGGAACUGUAUAAAGUUAAUAACCGCUCAAAGAAGUGGUAUAUGAGACUGUUGGUGUUUCGGCACAUCUGUAGUUAAUUCCUGGGUACUCAAAAAAACUAAGGCACAUUCCACUCUUUAAAUUUCAACUUAUACCACCAUAGCUCAAUAUUGCUCACAAGCAACUUUCUCUACCGCCCACAAUAAAAGGCGUGGCAACAUGAAAUUUUGUUUGUAAGCUCUUUGUGACAUUAUUUUCAGGGCGGAAUCGACCAUUGCUACGACCACAAAAUGACCUUAAGCAAAACAUAUAAAGGGCUAUAACUAAACUGCAAAGUAGGAUACAAAACGCGUCAUUUGGUACAAGGUAUCGCAGUGGAAAGGGGCAUCUGGGGGCUGAAAAUAAUAAAAAUGGUCCAAAUUUGAAUACAAUCACUCCUACUUUCCAUAUAACAAAAUUUUAAAGUCCACAUGAAAAGGUCAAUUUACCAAUAUAAAUCAAGCUGCAAUAAGAUGAUGGGAAUAAAACCUUGCACGAAUAGUGCUUCUGAGGUAUGCCAUUUAACGUCCAGUCGAAAUAAGACAAUAGCUUUUCAAGUCUCCAGACACCAAACAUGUGGAUUUCAGUGCCGUAUAAAGCGUCUCUCUCUAAUAACCUUGUGCAUAAAAUAAUAAUAAUCCGAUUGUGGAACAAAAUAUAAUCAACGAUAAACUACUAGAACCAACUAACAGAAUGUUCGAAUGGCGAUGUUUUGGUAACAAUCUCCUAUAUAAGGGCAGCCGGAUUGUGCAGCAGGAACAGUUCUAAUUAGAGUGCUGCUUAGUAAAGGGCUAUAAGUUCUAAACUCGAAUAACGAUUAAUAAGUGUUAAGUUGUUUAAAUUAUAAAUAAAAAUAAGUGUAUAGCCAUUAAA